rnacentral:rRNA from 1 species
AGAGUUUGAUCAUGGCUCAGAUUGAACGCUGGCGGCAGGCCUAACACAUGCAAGUCGAACGGUAACAGGAAACAGCUUGCUGUUUCGCUGACGAGUGGCGGACGGGUGAGUAAUGUCUGGGAAACUGCCUGAUGGAGGGGGAUAACUACUGGAAACGGUAGCUAAUACCGCAUAACGUCGCAAGACCAAAGAGGGGGACCCUCGGGCCUCUUGCCAUCGGAUGUGCCAGAUGGGAUUAGCUUGUUGGUGGGGUAACGGCUCACCAAGGCGACGAUCCCUAGCUGGUCUGAGAGGAUGACCAGCCACACUGGAACUGAGACACGGUCCAGACUCCUACGGGAGGCAGCAGUGGGGAAUAUUGCACAAUGGGCGCAAGCCUGAUGCAGCCAUGCCGCGUGUAUGAAGAAGGCCUUCGGGUUGUAAAGUACUUUCAGCGGGGAGGAAGGGAGUAAAGUUAAUACCUUUGCCCAUUGACGUUACCCGCAGAAGAAGCACCGGCUAACUCCGUGCCAGCAGCCGCGGUAAUACGGAGGGUGCAAGCGUUAAUCGGAAUUACUGGGCGUAAAGCGCACGCAGGCGGUUUGUUAAGUCAGAUGUGAAAUCCCCGGGCUCAACCUGGGAACUGCAUCUGAUACUGGCAAGCUUGAGUCUCGUAGAGGGGGGUAGAAUUCCAGGUGUAGCGGUGAAACGCGUAGAGAUCUGGAGGAAUACCGGUGGCGAAGGCGGCCCCCUGGACGAAGACUGACGCUCAGGUGCGAAAGCGUGGGGAGCAAACAGGAUUAGAUACCCUGGUAGUCCACGCCGUAAACGAUGUCGACUUGGAGGUUGUGCCCUUGAGGCGUGGCUUCCGGAGCUAACGCGUUAAGUCGACCGCCUGGGGAGUACGGCCGCAAGGUUAAAACUCAAAUGAAUUGACGGGGGCCCGCACAAGCGGUGGAGCAUGUGGUUUAAUUCGAUGCAACGCGAAGAACCUUACCUGGUCUUGACAUCCACGGAAGUUUUCAGAGAUGAGAAUGUGCCUUCGGGAACCGUGAGACAGGUGCUGCAUGGCUGUCGUCAGCUCGUGUUGUGAAAUGUUGGGUUAAGUCCCGCAACGAGCGCAACCCUUAUCCUUUGUUGCCAGCGGUCCGGCCGGGAACUCAAAGGAGACUGCCAGUGAUAAACUGGAGGAAGGUGGGGAUGACGUCAAGUCAUCAUGGCCCUUACGACCAGGGCUACACACGUGCUACAAUGGCGCAUACAAAGAGAAGCGACCUCGCGAGAGCAAGCGGACCUCAUAAAGUGCGUCGUAGUCCGGAUUGGAGUCUGCAACUCGACUCCAUGAAGUCGGAAUCGCUAGUAAUCGUGGAUCAGAAUGCCACGGUGAAUACGUUCCCGGGCCUUGUACACACCGCCCGUCACACCAUGGGAGUGGGUUGCAAAAGAAGUAGGUAGCUUAACCUUCGGGAGGGCGCUUACCACUUUGUGAUUCAUGACUGGGGUGAAGUCGUAACAAGGUA